GACCUAAUCGUUACCUCUCAAUAAGUAUUCAAUGUGUAUAUGUAGUUAAUGUUGUUGUUUUCUAAUAUCCCUCCCAAAAUUGGAUGUUGUAUGUACAAUAAGAAUGUAAAAAAAAACCGACUUUAUUUAAAAGUUAUCCAAUUUUAAUGAUAACUUCCAAAUAGCCGUAAAAAAAAAACAUUGGUUAAGAGACAAAAAAACAACAAUUUCCAAAAAAAAA